rnacentral:rRNA from 1 species
GCUUGCUAUAAUUGUCAGCUAAGUGGCGCACGGGUGAGUAAUAUAUAGGUAAUGUGCCCUAGAGAGGACACACGUGCUACAAUGGGAUAUACAAAGAGCAGCAAUACGGUGACGUGGAGCAAAUCUCAAAAAUAUCUCCCAGUUCGGAUUGUAGUCUGCAACUCGACUACAUGAAGUUGGAAUCGCUAGUAAUCGUAGAUCAGCUAUGCUACGGUGAAUACGUUCCCGGGUCUUGUACUCACCGCCCGUCACACCAUGGGAG